rnacentral:lncRNA from 1 species
UUUGGCGAAGCUAGAUGUGUUUCAAUUCAAUUUAAUUAAUUAUGUCAACUGAAACCCACAAAAUAAUUAAUUGUCCGUCUUAAUUAUGUCAAUUUUUUUUUUUUUGAGAAUUUUUUCUCCUAACAUACUCUUUAAUGGAAAGAGGACAUUGCAAAUAUAGAAAAGGAAUUUUGUUUCUCCUAACAUACUCUUUAUUGGUUUAUUUAUUUUAAUUGGGCCUUAUGAUAUUUUGAUAUUUCGAGCCCAGCGUUUUUUUAUUAUUUAAUUGGACUCUUUUUAUUAUUUCUUUGGGCCCAAAAUCAUUUUUAUUUAUUGAGCCCAA